rnacentral:rRNA from 1 species
UGUCCAGACUCCUACGGGAGGCAGCAGUGAGGAAUAUUGGUCAAUGGGCGGGAGCCUGAACCAGCCAAGUCGCGUGAGGGACGACGGUCCUAUGGAUUGUAAACCUCUUUUGUCGGGGAACAAAGGCGCCCACGGGUGGGCGGAUGAGUGUACCCGAAGAAAAAGCAUCGGCUAACUCCGUGCCAGCAGCCGCGGUAAUACGGAGGAUGCGAGCGUUAUCCGGAUUUAUUGGGUUUAAAGGGUGCGUAGGCGGGCCGGUAAGUCAGCGGUAAAAAGGCGGAGCUCAACUCCGUCGAGCCGUUGAAACUGCCGUUCUUGAGUGAGCGAGAAGUAUGCGGAAUGCGUGGUGUAGCGGUGAAAUGCAUAGAUAUCACGCAGAACUCCGAUUGCGAAGGCAGCAUACCGGCGCUCAACUGACGCUGAAGCACGAAGGCGUGGGUAUCGAACAGGAUUAGAUACCCCGGUAU